GGUGUAGCUCAGUGAUAGAGCACUUGCCUAGCACAUGUGAGGCCCUGGGUUCUAUCCCCAGCACC
rnacentral:tRNA from 1 species